AAGUCGUAACAAGGUUUCCGUAGGUGAACCUGCGGAAGGAUCAUUACAGUAUUCUUUUUGCCAGCGCUUAAUUGCGCGGCGAAAAAACCUUACACACAGUGUUUUUUGUUAUUACAAGAACUUUUGCUUUGGUCUGGACUAGAAAUAGUUUGGGCCAGAGGUUACUAAACUAAACUUCAAUAUUUAUAUUGAAUUGUUAUUUAUUUAAUUGUCAAUUUGUUGAUUAAAUUCAAAAAAUCUUCAAAACUUUCAACAACGGAUCUCUUGGUUCUC
rnacentral:misc_RNA from 1 species